rnacentral:lncRNA from 1 species
ACCCGCCAGCCCCGCGCUCUACCAGGCAGAGCGCGUGUGGCCGCCGAGCACAUGGACCCACUGGUCAAGCGGGCUCGGCAAGGCCAGGAUGAAGAGAAGCUACGAACUUAGCAUUCCCAGAGCCCCCCGAGUGGAUAUCCGCGUGGAAAGGAUGUUGGCAGCCCCGGUGACCUCGGAGUCACGGCUGGAUCCACCCUCUUGUCUGAUUUUCUUAACUCUACUACGGUAAGAAGAUGCCCUCCAUCAGCAGGCCGUGUCUGCUGGGACCUCUCUGGAGACUUCCUGAACCCUGUGGAUUUACAGUAAGAUGCAGUUUCCUGGGGAGUAAUUCUGGUGGAUACAAAUUCCGGAGUAUUACACCUGGCUUGCCUGGAGAUGUUACAAGUAGCUGGAUGGAUUCUUCAGCCUGGAUGCCCACUGAAAACAAGGACCGAAACUAAGAGGAUUGUAUCUCUACCCUUGACUCAAUGAGAAUGUUUGUUGUCAUCUCUCGGGCUACCUGGAGCUCCCUCUAAAAUAGAGCCGAGUUCUGUCACCACAGACAUUGGCAGUGGCACUUGCAUGCCCCUGGCAAGCAGUCUAUCCUGAGGUGGAGGAAGUUGCCCUUGAGUUCUGGCUGGUAACCAGCACAGUAUACCCUUUAAGCGUUCCAGAAGGAUUUUGAGAUCCUUUCCUAAAUCAAAGGUGGAAUAUUUGGGGAUUUGGAAAAUUGAGGCUUCAGAGAAAUCAGGAGCGGUGAAUGAUCGAAAUGGACCUUUGAGAUUACAGUGUGGAGCUGACAUUGCCAGUUAAGCCUGGGCAGAUCUGACUUAAUUGAUUUAGUUGUUGGAGCAGAGACAACCCAGAGGCUUGGAUCAGCCUCCCCAUCUGACAGUGUGCUGAUGUGAAGCGUUGACUUAAGAGAUGCCAAGUAACUCAGCAGAUGUCACACAGACGAUAAAUAGCAAAGAUGGAAGUCUUCAUGCCGGAGGCAAUCCUAUAAGACAGCUGAGUUCUGCAGAGCUGGUAGGAGACAGACUUGCUCAGGUGAUAGAUCCAGCCAUGAUACUGACCCUAAGAGAAUGAGACGCUCUGCAGAAGACAGAAGAUUCCUGAAACUGGGAAAGGUGCCUAGAAAUCCUGAUAAGAGUGAAGAAGGAGCUGGCAGAGCAGCCUUCCUCCGCACUAUGAAAGACAUCCAACAGAGAGCAAGUUCCCACCUCACUUCCAGCUUGACUCCUUUUUAUCUCCUAACUGUGGUCUGUGAUGUCUUCAGCAAUGGUAUUAACUAGUUCUGGGUACCUGGAGGCACAGCAGCCAUGUUGAACCUAUGAGGUGAUGAAAAACCAUGCAACUAGAAACCAGAAUGGAAGAAAAGAAGAAGCUGGAUCCUUGACUGAAUUGUCGAUGGGGGAUAGUCCAUCAUCCCAGGGCUAAGACCACCUCCAGAUUUCUUGUUUGGUGAAACAAGUCCUGAUUGUUUACAUUCCCUCGUGUUGAGCUGUCUCUUGCUUGUAGCUGAAAGCAUUUCUAAUAGAUAUUCAGAUUAUCAGCCUUAGCUCCAAGCUAGAAUACUCUAUGGGACCUUAGCUUCUCCAUGAAUUCCUUUGCUCAUCUGUGUAAUGCUCAAUAAAUGUAAAUUGAACCCUGAAUGAGGGACAAUGACA